UACGUAGGGGGCAAGCGUUGUCCGGAUUUAUUGGGCGUAAAGCGCGUGUAGGCGGCCAGAUAGGUCUGCUGUGAAAACUCGAGGCUCAACCUCGAGCUGUCGGCGGAAACCAUCUGGCUAGAGUCCGGAAGAGGAGAGUGGAAUUCCUGGUGUAGCGGUGAAAUGCGCAGAUAUCAGGAAGAACACCUAUGGCGAAGGCAGCUCUCUGGGACGGUACUGACGCUGAGACGCGAAAGCGUGGGGAGCGAACAGG
rnacentral:rRNA from 1 species